CAUCUGAUUGAGGAUGAUAGGCAGAGCUAUAAGACAAAGUAGUGCCCAUGCAUUUGAACAACUCCUUCCAAAAUAGGCUUGUAAAAACUUUGUCCCUAUCAUUGACAAUAGUAAGUGGUGCUCUAUGAAGUUUAAACACAUUAUCCAAGAACAAUUUAGCUACUGCAGCAGCAGUAUAUGGAUGAGCCAAAGGUAUGAAGUGACCAUACUUUGUGAAUCUACACACUACCACUAGGAUGGUGUCUUUCCCUUUCGACUUUGGUAAGUGGUCAAUGAAGUCCAUUGUAAUGUGUUGCCAUGCUUGAGUAGGAACAGGCAAUGGCUGCAAUAAUCCUGGUGCAGCACAGUGUUCACUUUUGCAUCAUGCACAUGUGUCACAUCGUUGAAUCCAUGCCAUGAUAUCCCUUAACAUCCCAGGCCAGAAAAAAUGCUUUUUGAGCCUCAAAUAGGUCACAUUUACUCCUGAGUGUCCCCCUAGAGCACUAUUAUGGUAUAAUUCAAUUAACUGCUUCCUCAAAGUUGUAGUAGAACCCACAUACAACCUAUCUUGAAAAUAAAGAACACCAUUCCUCAAUUUAAACCCUGGAUGAGCAUUAUUGUCUAAAGAUAGUUGCUGCACCAAUUGAGUUGCUUUGCAAUCUUUAUCAUAACUUUGAUUGAGAUUAUCCAUCCAUGUAGGGGAAGUAGAAGAGUGUGUAGCACCACAAAAGGACUCCUGUCUUGCUGGUCUCCUAGAUAGGGCAUCAACUGCCUUAUUUUCAACCCCUCUUCUAUAUAAAAUUUUAUAAUCAAGACCCAACAACUUAGAAAUCCCCUUUUGCUGUAGAUUUGUAUGUAACCUCUGCUCCAGCAAGUAUUUGAUGCUCUCAUGGUCAGUUUUAAUAAAGAACUGACCUUGUUCAAGAUAAUGUCUCCACUUAGAAAUGGCAAAAGUAAUUGCCAAUAACUCCUUUUCAUACACAGAUAGGGACUGACUUCUAGGACCAAAAGCUUUGGAAAUAUAAGCUAGUGGAUGGCCAUUUUGUUGGAGAACAGCCCCUAUACCCCAAUUACUUGCAUCAGUUUCAACAAUGAAAGGAAGAUUAAAAUCUGGCAAGGCAAGUACUGGUGGUUCUGUCAUGGCUCUUCUAAGAGUAUCAAAUGCCUCUUGAGCUUUCUCUGACCAUUGAAAUGAGUCUUUCUUGAGAAGAUCAGUAAAAGGUUUGCUAAUUAUGCCAUAGUUUUUCACAAACAUCCUGCAGUACCCCAUCAACCCCAAAAAAACUCCUCAAUUCUGUACCAGAAAUUGGAGUUGGCCAUUGCAGCAUAACCUGAUUUUUUUUAGGAUCAAUAGCACCACCCUCAGCAAUUAUAAUGUGCCACCAAUACUCCAUUUCUAUUUGCCCAAAGGAACAUUUGGACUGUUUAGCAUGAAGCUGCUGCUCUUUCAAGAUCUUAAAAACCUCCUCCAAAUGCUGCAAAUGAGAUUCCCAAUCCUUGCUAAAAAUAAGAAUGUCAUCAAAAAAUACCAACACAAAUUUCCUUAAAUGAGGUUGGAAGAUCUGGUUCAUUAAGGCUUGCAAUGUGGCUGGUGCAUUUGUCAGUCCAAAUGGCAUGACAUUGAAUUCAAAGUGACCAUGGUGAGUUCUAAAUGCUGUCUUAGGGACAUCUUGAGGCUCCAUUCUGAUCUGAUGAUAACCAGCCCUCAAAUCAAUCUUUGAAAAGUACUUGGCCCCAUUUAAUUCAUCCAACAAGUCAUCUAUA
rnacentral:misc_RNA from 1 species